UAGAGUUUGAUCCUGGCUCAGGACGAACGCUGGCGGCAGGCCUAACACAUGCAAGUCGAGCGGCAGCGGGAAGUAGCUUGCUACUUUGCCGGCGAGCGGCGGWHKGGGUGAGUAAUGUCUGGGAAACUGCCUGAUGGAGGGGGAUAACUACUGGAAACGGUAGCUAAUACCGCAUGACCUCGCAAGAGCAAAGUGGGGGACCUUCGGGCCUCACGCCAUCGGAUGUGCCCAGAUGGGAUUAGCUAGUAGGUGGGGUAAUGGCUCACCUAGGCGACGAUCCCUAGCUGGUCUGAGAGGAUGACCAGCCACACUGGAACUGAGACACGGUCCAGGCUCCUACGGGAGGCAGCAGUGGGGAAUAUUGCACAAUGGGCGCAAGCCUGAUGCAGCCAUGCCGCGUGUAUGAAGAAGGCCUUCGGGUUGUAAAGUACUUACAGCGAGGAGGAAGGCAUUAAGGUUAAUAACCUUAGUGAUUGACGUUACUCGCAGAAGAAGCACCGGCUAACUCCGUGCCAGCAGCCGCGGUAAUACGGAGGGUGCAAGCGUUAAUCGGAAUUACUGGGCGUAAAGCGCACGCAGGCGGUUUGUUAAGUCAGAUGUGAAAUCCUCGGGCUCAACCUGGGAACUGCAUUUGAAACUGGCAAGCUUGAGUCUUGUAGAGGGGGGUAGAAUUCCAGGUGUAGCGGUGAAAUGCGUAGAGAUCUGGAGGAAUACCCGGUGGCGAAGGCGACCCCCUGACAAAGACUGACGCUCAGGUGCGAAAGNGUG
rnacentral:rRNA from 1 species